ACUGGAAACUGAUUCGAGGAAACCAAAAGUGAGGUUACUACUUUGUUUUCUUUCUUUUCCUUAUCAAUUAAGAAAUCAAAACAAAGCCUUAAGAGAAAACAUAAGGCAGCAGCUGGAGUACUAAUACUCGACUUCUUCUCCUUCUCUUGGUAUUCAAGAAUUCACUAAAAGAGGAAGAGGGGAAAGGAUUCUUAUGAUACUUUUGAAAUAAUCUUUAAGAGGUGACUUCAAUAACCUAAGCUAGUGAAUUGUGUAUCGGAUAGCAGGAACUAGAGGUUGGAAGGAUAAAGGCUUCAAUAUCGCAGGUUGAAUUACUUGAGGCUGGAAUUACUAUCGUAGCUAAUGAAUCAUUAAGGCUCAGAUCCUCAGGAUAGCAGACAUCCACAUUAGGUUCUAUUGCCAUUUUCAGCUGAUAUUUUGGUGAGCUCCAACUCUCUUUGGAGCCAGUCUAUGCCUAGUAUUUUGAUCAUAUGUACAGAUCUCUGGUUGGGAAUGACGAGCCUGAUGCCAACUAGUCAUUGUAGUUUAGCGUGUUAAACUAACUAGAGGAUUUAUGGACAUCAUGUAGCAUUGUAUAGUUUUGUAAAUAUAACUCCCUUAUGUAUAUAUGUAACUCUUAUUGAAUAUUCUGCUCAUUAUUAUCCCAUAACCUCGUGUACGUUAUAAAGUGCUUGUAGAGUAAGUGUAUACGGUUUUUGUCCGUCAUUAUCA